rnacentral:rRNA from 1 species
UACAGAGGGGGCAAGCGUUGUUCGGAAUUACUGGGCGUAAAGGGCGCGUAGGCGGCCUGCUAAGUCGAACGUGAAAGCCCCGAGCUUAACUUGGGAAUUGCGCUUGUGACUGGCGUGCUGGAGUGUGGCAGAGGGAGGUGGAAUUCCACGUGUAGCAGUGAAAUGCGUAGAGAUGUGGAGGAACACCGAUGGCGAAGGCAGCCUCCUGGGCCAGCACUGACGCUCAUGCACGAAAGCGUGGGGAGCAAACAGG